CCUACGGGGCGCAGCAGUGAGGAAUAUUGGUCAAUGGGCGCGAGCCUGAACCAGCCAAGUAGCGUGAAGGAUGACUGCCCUACGGGUUGUAAACUUCUUUUAUAAAGGAAUAAAGUGAGGCACGUGUGCCUUUUUGUAUGUACUUUAUGAAUAAGGAUCGGCUAACUCCGUGCCAGCAGCCGCGGUAAUACGGAGGAUCCGAGCGUUAUCCGGAUUGAUUGGGUUGAAAGGGAGCGUGGAUGGGUUGUUAAGUCAGUUGUGAAAGUUUGCGGCUCAACCGUAAAAUUGCAAUUGUUACUGGCAUUCUUGAGAACAGUUGAGGUAGGCGGAAUUCGUGGUGUAGCGGUGAAAUGCUUAGAUAUCACGAAGAACUCCGAUUGCGAAGGCAGCUUACUAAACUGCCACUGACAUUGAUGCUCGAAAGUGUGGGUAUCAAACAGGAUUAGAUACCCCGGUAGUC
rnacentral:rRNA from 1 species